rnacentral:rRNA from 1 species
AUUGAACGCUGGCGGCAGGCUUAACACAUGCAAGUCGAGCGGAGAGAGGUAGCUUGCUACUGAUCUUAGCGGCGGACGGGUGAGUAAUGCUUAGGAAUCUGCUUAUUAGUGGGGGACAACAUUUCGAAAGGAAUGCUAAUACCGCAUACGUCCUACGGGAGAAAGCAGGGGAUCUUCGGACCUUGCGCUAAUAGAUGAGCCUAAGUCGGAUUAGCUAGUUGGUGGGGUAAAGGCCUACCAAGGCGACGAUCUGUAGCGGGUCUGAGAGGAUGAUCCGCCACACUGGGACUGAGACACGGCCCAGACUCCUACGGGAGGCAGCAGUGGGGAAUAUUGGACAAUGGGCGGAAGCCUGAUCCAGCCAUGCCGCGUGUGUGAAGAAGGCCUUAUGGUUGUAAAGCACUUUAAGCGAGGAGGAGGCUACUUUAGUUAAUACCUAGAGAUAGUGGACGUUACUCGCAGAAUAAGCACCGGCUAACUCUGUGCCAGCAGCCGCCGUAAGAC